rnacentral:rRNA from 1 species
CGUAGGGUGCGAGCGUUAAUCGGAAUUACUGGGCGUAAAGCGUGCGCAGGCGGUUUGUUAAGAUAGGCGUGAAAUCCCCGGGCUCAACCUGGGAACUGCGCUUAUGACUGGCAAGCUAGAGUACGGCAGAGGGGGGUGGAAUUCCACGUGUAGCAGUGAAAUGCGUAGAGAUGUGGAGGAACACCAAUGGCGAAGGCAGCCCCCCUGGGUCGAUACUGACGCUCAUGCACGAAAGCGUGGGUAGCAAACAGGAUUAGAUACCCUGGUAGUCCACGCCCUAAACGAUGUCAACUAGGUGUUGGGAGGGUAAAACCUUUUAGUACCGGAGCUAACGCGUGAAGUUGACCGCCUGGGGAGUACGGCCGCAAGGUUA